UGUGGAGGACAUCAGUGAUUAUUUUCCAAUUGGUAAGUAGAGUGAAUUAGGUGAUUCUAAGUGGUUAUUGUAUUAAUGAGAAUACAAUGUGUAUACUUGCUGGUGUUGCAAGUUGUACUAUGAGGAAGUGUGGAUACUUCAUAGAGUUGCAUGAGUGAGAGUACAAGGUGUUUACUUGCUGGUGUUGCAAGUUGAAAUAUUGUGGAAAUGUAUUAGUGAAAGUGCACUGUGUUAAACCUUAUCAGUUGGAUAAUAUUCAUUGUGUGGGAACUCAAAGGGAUAGUUGCUGCGUGAGUUCAGCUGUGUUUGUAUAUUUAUUCCUUGUACAUUGAAGGAUUUGUGCAAGUGUAAAUAUGUCAUUGUGUUAUUGUGGACAGUAUCAGAUUAAUAAGAUGAUAUUAGAUAUUGGUGGACGUUGUAAAUAGAAGUUGUAUAUAUGUAAUUUUGUGUUCAUACGUUUUGUGUGAUACGUACUUGAUGCAUGUUUCAAAGUAAUCUGUUUGUGAUAUUGUUCCAAUCAAAUUCAAUAACUCCUACUUUCGUAUUUAGCCGGUAUACAUAUUCGAAUAGAUAUUUUUGUGUUGUACUCAAAUACUUCCUUCUUAAUAUAUUAUUAUUUUCCAAUUGAAUAUGUCGAAGCCCGUGUUAAUCAGGAGACAUCCAACUAUUAUUCGGCUAAAAAAAGAAAAAAAAUCAGAAUGGUAUUACUAAGAUUAACGCUGUUCCUUGCAAAGAUAACUACCUAGCUAUACAGUUGUUUAUUUAAAAACCUACGAACAACAAAUCUAUUUCCUGUGUACCCAAAUCCCGUUAUCAUCUUGAUAAGUGGAGUGAAAAGUUCAUCGUUAUCGCAACAACAAAAAUAAACAAGGAAGUCAUACCUACACGAAAAAUGAUUGUGAAAAAAAUCGACUAUUUACGACAACCAACAACUAAACUUGUCAAAGUUGAUGAACUUUUUCACAACCUGAUAUACAACUGUACCAAUGGCAUAACAAUAAACAAUAAUGGCAACCGGAGGGAAUGAUAAAUCUUGGAAAUUCGAUGCGACAGAAUCAGCUUUAAAUGAAAUAUAUCCAAAAGAUAUUACAGAUUCAGUGGAGAGUUCAUUUUGGUUUGUUUUUGUCAGCAGUAAACAAAAGAUUUCAGAAUUUAGAAAUAUUCUAAAAAAAGAAACGAAUGUUGUGUUUGUCGACAGUGAACAGUUGGAUUUCAUAGAAGACAAUAAAAGCAAAACAUGGGAUAAUACAACAUUUUACGUCGGAAGGCAUUUUCCGCCUGAAGAACAUGAUGGACCUUUCUGUGAUGGGACCCGAAACAUUGAAAGUCAGAUUAAAUCAGGAUGUGAAACAACGGAUUCCUUAGAUGACAAUGCAGAGGAUAUGGAUAUGAUGUGGGUGAAGAAAGGUAUGAGUCAUAGAAGUGCAUCGACUUGUGAGACUUUGCAGGUUCCGUUUGUGAAAAUGCACAUGAAUGGUAGCUUAGGUAAAGGUGCUAGUGGGGAAUGUAAACGGUUAACGGACGAAUACUCGAGGGAAGCCGCCGUAAAAAGAAUUGAGAAAAAGGAUGGACCAAAAGCCUUAAGACAACUGAAAUCGAUGGUAAAGCUGAUGGGAAAUGGCUUACCACUAAUUUUUACAAUUAAAGAACGUGACCAGUAUUACGAAAUAUUCAUGGAAUUGAUAUUUCCCUGUAUAUCAAUGACUGUCUUAACAAAGCGUUUGGUGAAUGUAAUACACAGUAUUGAAGAUCGCGGGAGACGAUUUCUCCAUUAUUUGUUUCAUCAAUUAUUGGGCGAAAUAUCAAAAUUUCAUGAGCAAGAAGUCUCCCAUGGAGAUUUAGGAGUGUCAAACAACGAAUCAAAAAUUCUCCUCGAGAAAAAGGAAAAACAUUUGCUAGUGGUACGAUUGAUUGAUCCUUCUGAUAUCAACGACAGGAUAGAAAUAGAUCUUCAUGACAUAUCAAUUCAUAUACGUAAGAUAAGUGAAAUCUACAAUGAUAUAAAGGAUGACAUCUUUGAUGAAUUUAGAAAUGGGAAAAUAAUAUUGACAAAGCAGGAAGCUGAAGUCUUGCGACAACAAUUUUCGAACUUCGGAGAAAUGUUUGUUUGUUUUAGCUCAGGAUCCGACAUACAGAAAACUAAUAUGUAAUGUCCUUUUUGACGAAUCCAAGAUUGAAAAAGUACAGCCUCUCAGAUAUAUUAGAGAGAUGCAGGAAGGAAUCUCAAAGAAAGUGGACUAGGAAGAUGAUGAUUGAUUUAUAAUAAAUCAUUUAUAGACAAUUUGAAAGUUUUCUUCAAUUCCAUGUAUUCCACACAUUAAGUUGUAUUGAAACUAUUUAUAACUAUAAUCACCAUGCAUUAGUUCUAUGUACUACUUUAUUUUAUUCGCCU